AGUGAACGCUGGCGGUAGGCCUAACACAUGCAAGUCGAACGGCAGCACAGUAAGAGCUUGCUCUUACUGGUGGCGAGUGGCGGACGGGUGAGGAAUACAUCGGAAUCUACUUUUUCGUGGGGGAUAACGUAGGGAAACUUACGCUAAUACCGCAUACGACCUACGGGUGAAAGCAGGGGAUCUUCGGACCUUGCGCGAUUGAAUGAGCCGAUGUCGGAUUAGCUAGUUGGCGGGGUAAAGGCCCACCAAGGCGACGAUCCGUAGCUGGUCUGAGAGGAUGAUCAGCCACACUGGAACUGAGACACGGUCCAGACUCCUACGGGAGGCAGCAGUGGGGAAUAUUGGACAAAGGGCGCAAGCCUGAUCCAGCCAUACCGCGUGGGUGAAGAAGGCCUUCGGGUUGUAAAGCCCUUUUGUUGGGAAAGAAAAGCAGCAGGUUAAUACCCCGCUGUCCUGACGGUACCCAAAGAAUAAGCACCGGCUAACUUCGUG
rnacentral:rRNA from 1 species